GACGAACGCUGGCGGCGUGCUUAACACAUGCAAGUCGAACGAAGUGGCGAACGGGUGAGUAACGCGUAAUCAACCUGCCCUUCAGAGGGGGACAACAGUUGGAAACGACUGCUAAUACCGCAUACGGAAGGAGGGGCAUGCGUCUGAUUAGCUAGUUGGAGGGGAAACGGCCCACCAAGGCGAUGAUCAGUAACCGGUCUGAGAGGAUGAACGGCCAAAUCGGGAAUGAGACACGGCCCCGGCUCCUACGGGAGGCAGCAGUGGGGAAUCGUCCGAAAUGGACGAAAGUCUGACGGAGCAACGCCGCGGUAGUGAUGACGGCCUUCGGGUUGUAAAGCUCUGUUAAUCGGGACGCGGUACCGGAAUAGAAAGCCACGGCUAACUACGUGCCAGCAGCCGCGGUAAUUC
rnacentral:rRNA from 1 species